GGGCGGCUGGCCUAAUGGUAAGGCGUCUGAUUUCGGCUGAGCAUAGCUCAACAAGUUCUCAGAAGAUUGCAGGUUCGAUCCCUGCGUCGCUCA
rnacentral:tRNA from 1 species